UUUUUUUCAAUUUGCAAAAGCAGCGGCGGAAGCAAUACAUCAACUUUGCUCUUUAUUUUCUUUCUUUUAUUACUAAUCAACCAAGCUCUUUGAUACCAUGUUAAUAAAAUUGAACAUAUAGAAACAUAGAGAAAGACCCUUGAACUUAGGGUUUCAAUAGAAUGAACAAAACUUGAAGAGUAAAGGUUACAAUAGAGUAUAAAUAUUAGAUACUAGAAAAAGACUAAACUACCCUUACCAAUAUAAUAAAAACAUAAAUAAUUAAUAUCUAACA
rnacentral:lncRNA from 1 species